rnacentral:rRNA from 1 species
UACGUAGGUGGCAAGCGUUGUCCGGAUUUACUGGGCGUAAAGGGCGCGCAGGCGGUCGUUUAAGUCGAAUGUGAAAGCCCCCGGCUCAACUGGGGAGGGUCAUUCGAUACUGAUCGACUUGAAGGCAGGAGAGGGAAGUGGAAUUCCGGGUGUAGUGGUGAAAUGCGUAGAUAUCAGGAGGAACACCGGUGGCGAAGGCGGGUCUCUGGGCAACUACUGACGCUGAGGAGCGAAAGCGUGGGGAGCGAACAGG